AGGACGAACGCUGGCGGCGUGCUUAACACAUGCAAGUCGAGCGGAAAGGCCCUUCGGGGUACUCGAGCGGCGAACGGGUGAGUAACACGUGAGUAACCUGCCCUAGGCUUUGGGAUAACCCUCGGAAACGGGGGCUAAUACUGGAUAUUCCCGCGGGAUCGCAUGGUUUUGUGGGGAAAGGUUUUCCGGCUUGGGAUGGGCUCGCGGCCUAUCAGCUUGUUGGUGGGGUGAUGGCCUACCAAGGCGACGACGGGGUAGCCGGCCUGAGACGGGGCGACCGGGCCAACGACGUGGGACUGGAGACACGGCCCAGACUCCUACGGGAGGCAGCAGUGGGGAAUAUUGCCCAAUGAGCGAAAGCUUGAGGCAGCAACUCCGCGUGAGGGAUGAAGGCUCUAGGGUCGUAAACCUCUUUUCUCAGGGAAGAUACAAGACGGUACCUGAGGAAUAAGCGACGGCUAACUACGUGCCAGCAGCCGC
rnacentral:rRNA from 1 species